rnacentral:rRNA from 1 species
CUGAAGAGAGGAGCUUGCUCUUCUUGGAUGAGUUGCGAACGGGUGAGUAACGCGUAGGUAACCUGCCUUGUAGCGGGGGAUAACUAUUGGAAACGAUAGCUAAUACCGCAUAACAAUGGAUGACACAUGUCAUUUAUUUGAAAGGGGCAAUUGCUCCACUACAAGAUGGACCUGCGUUGUAUUAGCUAGUAGGUGAGGUAACGGCUCACCUAGGCGACGAUACAUAGCCGACCUGAGAGGGUGAUCGGCCACACUGGGACUGAGACACGGCCCAGACUCCUACGGGAGGCAGCAGUAGGGAAUCUUCGGCAAUGGGGGCAACCCUGACCGAGCAACGCCGCGUGAGUGAAGAAGGUUUUCGGAUCGUAAAGCUCUGUUGUAAGUCAAGAACGAGUGUGAGAGUGGAAAGUUCACACUGUGACGGUAGCUUACCAGAAAGGGACGGCUAACUACGUGCCAGCAGCCGCGGUAAUACGUAGGUCCCGAGCGUUGUCCGGAUUUAUUGGGCGUAAAGCGAGCGCAGGCGGUUUGAUAAGUCUGAAGUUAAAGGCUGUGGCUCAACCAUAGUUCGCUUUGGAAACUGUCAAACUUGAGUGCAGAAGGGGAGAGUGGAAUUCCAUGUGUAGCGGUGAAAUGCGUAGAUAUAUGGAGGAACACCGGUGGCGAAAGCGGCUCUCUGGUCUGUAACUGACGCUGAGGCUCGAAAGCGUGGGGAGCGAACAGGAUUAGAUACCCUGGUAGUCCACGCCGUAAACGAUGAGUGCUAGGUGUUGGAUCCUUUCCGGGAUUCAGUGCCGCAGCUAACGCAUUAAGCACUCCGCCUGGGGAGUACGACCGCAAGGUUGAAACUCAAAGGAAUUGACGGGGGCCCGCACAAGCGGUGGAGCAUGUGGUUUAAUUCGAAGCAACGCGAAGAACCUUACCAGGUCUUGACAUCCCGAUGCUAUUUCUAGAGAUAGAAAGUUACUUCGGUACAUCGGUGACAGGUGGUGCAUGGUUGUCGUCAGCUCGUGUCGUGAGAUGUUGGGUUAAGUCCCGCAACGAGCGCAACCCCUAUUGUUAGUUGCCAUCAUUCAGUUGGGCACUCUAGCGAGACUGCCGGUAAUAAACCGGAGGAAGGUGGGGAUGACGUCAAAUCAUCAUGCCCCUUAUGACCUGGGCUACACACGUGCUACAAUGGUUGGUACAACGAGUUGCGAGUCGGUGACGGCAAGCUAAUCUCUUAAAGCCAAUCUCAGUUCGGAUUGUAGGCUGCAACUCGCCUACAUGAAGUCGGAAUCGCUAGUAAUCGCGGAUCAGCACGCCGCGGUGAAUACGUUCCCGGGCCUUGUACACACCGCCCGUCACACCACGAGAGUUUGUAACACCCGAAGUCGGU